rnacentral:rRNA from 1 species
CUUGGUCAUUUAGAGGAAGUAAAAGUCGUAACAAGGUCUCCGUUGGUGAACCAGCGGAGGGAUCAUUACUGAGUUUACGCUCUACAACCCUUUGUGAACAUACCUAUAACUGUUGCUUCGGCGGGUAGGGUCUCCGUGACCCUCCCGGCCUCCCGCCCCCGGGCGGGUCGGCGCCCGCCGGAGGAUAACCAAACUCUGAUUUAACGACGUUUCUUCUGAGUGGUACAAGCAAAUAAUCAGAACCUUUAACAACGGAUCUCUUGGUUCUGGCAUCGAUGAAGAACGCAGCGAAAUGCGAUAAGUAAUGUGAAUUGCAGAAUUCAGUGAAUCAUCGAAUCUUUGAACGCACAUUGCGCCCGCCAGCAUCCUGGCGGGCAUGCCUGUUCGAGCGUCAUUUCAACCCUCAAGCUCUGCUUGGUGUUGGGGCCCUACAGCUGAUGUAGGCCCUCAAAGGUAGUGGCGGACCCUCCCGGAGCCUCCUUUGCGUAGUAACUUUACGUCUCGCACUGGGAUCCGGAGGGACUCUUGCCGUAAAACCCCCAAUUUUCCAAAGGUUGACCUCGGAUCAGGUAGGAAUACCCGCUGAACUUAAGCAUAUCAAUAAGCGGAGGA